rnacentral:rRNA from 1 species
UACGAAGGGUGCAAGCGUUACUCGGAAUUACUGGGCGUAAAGCGUGCGUAGGUGGUUUGUUAAGUCUGAUGUGAAAGCCCUGGGCUCAACCUGGGAACUGCAUUGGAAACUGGCUUACUAGAGUGCGGUAGAGGGGUGUGGAAUUCCCGGUGUAGCAGUGAAAUGCGUGGAUAUCGGGAGGAACAUCUGUGGCGAAGGCGACACCCUGGACCAGCACUGACACUGAGGCACGAAAGCGUGGGGGAGCAAACAGG